rnacentral:rRNA from 1 species
CUAAGCCUACGGGGGGCAGCAGUGGGGAAUAUUGCACAAUGGGGGAAACCCUGAUGCAGCGACGCCGCGUGAAGGAAGAAGUAUUUCGGUAUGUAAACUUCUAUCAGCAGGGAAGAAAAUGACGGUACCUGACUAAGAAGCCCCGGCUAACUACGUGCCAGCAGCCGCGGCAAUACGUAGGGGGCAAGCGUUAUCCGGAUUUACUGGGUGUAAAGGGAGCGUAGGCGGUUUAGCAAGUCAGAAGUGAAAGCCCGGGGCCUAACUACGGGACUGCUUUUGAAACUGUUG